UACGGAGGGGGCAAGCGUUGUUCGGAAUUACUGGGCGUAAAGGGCGCGUAGGCGGCCUUCUAAGUCGAACGUGAAAUCCCCGGGCUCAACCCGGGAACUGCGUCCGAUACUGGAAGGCUUGAAUCCGGGAGAGGGAUGCGGAAUUCCAGGUGUAGCGGUGAAAUGCGUAGAUAUCUGGAGGAACACCGGUGGCGAAGGCGGCAUCCUGGACCGGCAUUGACGCUGAGGCGCGAAAGCCAGGGGAGCAAACGGG
rnacentral:rRNA from 1 species